AUUGAACGCUGGCGGCAUGCUUUACACAUGCAAGUCGAACGGCAGCGCGGGGCAACCUGGCGGCGAGUGGCGAACGGGUGAGUAAUAUAUCGGAACGUACCCAGAAGUGGGGGAUAACGUAGCGAAAGUUACGCUAAUACCGCAUACGAUCUACGGAUGAAAGUAGGGGACCGAAAGGCCUUAUGCUUUUGGAGCGGCCGAUAUCUGAUUAGCUAGUUGGUGAGGUAAAGGCUCACCAAGGCGACGAUCAGUAGCUGGUCUGAGAGGACGACCAGCCACACUGGAACUGAGACACGGUCCAGACUCCUACGGGAGGCAGCAGUGGGGAAUUUUGGACAAUGGGCGCAAGCCUGAUCCAGCAAUGCCGCGUGAGUGAAGAAGGCCUUCGGGUUGUAAAGCUCUUUUGUCAGGGAAGAAACGGUAGAGGCUAAUAUCCUUUGCUAAUGACGGUACCUGAAGAAUAAGCACCGGCUAACUACGUG
rnacentral:rRNA from 1 species